GAGUUUGAUCCUGGCUCAGGAUGAACGCUGGCGGCGUGCCUAAUACAUGCAAGUCGAGCGAACGGACGAGAAGCUUGCUUCUCUGAUGUUAGCGGCGGACGGGUGAGUAACACGUGGAUAACCUACCUAUAAGACUGGGAUAACUUCGGGAAACCGGAGCUAAUACCGGAUAAUAUUUUGAACCGCAUGGUUCAAAAGUAAAAGACGGUCUUGCUGUCACUUAUAGAUGGAUCCGCGCUGCAUUAGCUAGUUGGUAAGGUAACGGCUUACCAAGGCAACGAUGCAUAGCUGACCUGAGAGGGUGAUCGGCCACACUGGAACUGAGACACGGUCCAGACUCCUACGGGAGGCAGCAGUAGGGAAUCUUCCGCAAUGGGCGAAAGCCUGACGGAGCAACGCCGCGUGAGUGAUGAAGGCUUCGGAUCGUAAAACUCUGUUAUUAGGGAAGAACAUAUGUGUAAGUAACUGUGCACAUCUUGACGGUACCUAAUCAGAAAGCCACGGCUAACUACGUCG
rnacentral:rRNA from 1 species